AAACAUAAGAGUUUGAUCCUGGCUCAGGACGAACGCUGGCGGCGUGCCUAACACAUGCAAGUCGAGCGGAGAUGCCAAGGAGCAAUCUGAGGUGUCUUAGCGGCGGACGGGUGAGUAACACGUGGGUAACCUACCCCAAGGAGGGGGAUAACAGGUCGAAAGGCCUGCUAAUACCGCAUAAAGCUUGUGUAUCGCAUGAUACAUAAGCCAAAGGAGGAAUCCGCCUUGGGAUGGGCCCGCGGCCCAUUAGCUAGUUGGUGAGGUAACGGCUCACCAAGGCGACGAUGGGUAGCCGGCCUGAGAGGGUGGUCGGCCACACUGGGACUGAGACACGGCCCAGACUCCUACGGGAGGCAGCAGUGGGGAAUAUUGCGCAAUGGGGGAAACCCUGACGCAGCGACGCCGCGUGAGCGAAGAAGGCCUUCGGGUUGUAAAGCUCUGUCUUCCCUGACGAAGAAAGUGACGGUAAGGGAGGAGGAAGCCACGGCUAACUACGUGCCAGCAGCCGCGGUAAUACGUAGGUGGCGAGCGUUGUCCGGAAUUACUGGGCGUAAAGGGUGCGUAGGCGGCUCCUUAAGUGAGGUGUGAAAUCCCUGGGCUCAACCCAGGAACUGCACUUCAAACUGGGGAGCUAGAGUGCAGGAGAGGAAAGCGGAAUUCCCGGUGUAGCGGUGAAAUGCGUAG
rnacentral:ncRNA from 1 species